rnacentral:rRNA from 1 species
UACGUAGGGAGCAAGCGUUGUCCGGAAUCAUUGGGCGUAAAGCGCGCGUAGGCGGCCUCAUAAGUCCGUUGUGAAAGUCAAAGACUCAACCUUUGAAAGCCGAUGGAUACUGUGAGGCUAGAGUCCGGGAGAGGCGAGUGGAAUUCCUGGUGUAGCGGUGGAAUGCGCAGAUAUCAGGAGGAACACCAAUAGCGAAGGCAGCUCGCUGGGACGGUACUGACGCUAAGGCGCGAAAGCGUGGGGAGCGAACAGG